rnacentral:rRNA from 1 species
GUGCUAAGGUAGCACAAUAACUUGUCUCCUAAUUUGAGAAUAGAAUGAAUGAAUAAACGAUAAGAAGCCUGUCUCAUUAUAAACCAAAAAAAUUUAUAUGGGGGUGAAAAAUCCUCCCAUUACAUAAAAAGACAAAAAGACCCUAGAAGCUUUUAAAUAAUAGAUAACGUCUCCUCUAUAUUUUUUUGCUGGGAGGGCAUAAAGUAAACAAAACACUUUAAAUAAAAAGAAUUGUAUCUACUUAAUUCAACCCCAAUAAGAAUAUAAGUAAGCUACUCUAGGGGUAACAGGCUAAUGCUCCUUAAGAGUACUUAUUGACAGGAGUGUUUGGCACCUCGAUGUUGGCUUAGGGAGCUUGUUUUAUGCAGAAGUAAAAUAAAGAGGUUUGUUCAACCUUUAAUCCCCUACGUGAUCUGAG